GAAUUAGUUUUUAGGUGUUGAUU
rnacentral:siRNA from 1 species